rnacentral:snRNA from 1 species
AUCCUGAUUAAUGGCAUGUAUGCUAAAAUUAGAUCAAUGCAGAGAAGAUUAGCAUGACCUCUACACAAAGAUAACAUACAAAUUUUUCCUGUAUUUUU